UACGGAGGGGGACUAGCGUUGUUCGGAAUUACUGGGCGUAAAGCGCACGUAGGCGGAUUUGUAAGUCAGGGGUGAAAAUCCCGGGGCUCAACCUCGGAACUGCCUUUGAUACUGCAAAUCUCGAGUCCGGAAGAGGUGAGUGGAAUUCCUAGUGUAGAGGUGAAAUUCGUAGAUAUUAGGAAGAACACCAGUGGCGAAGGCGGCUCACUGGUCCGGUACUGACGCUGAGGUGCG
rnacentral:rRNA from 1 species